rnacentral:rRNA from 1 species
UCGACUACAUGAAGCUGGAAUCGCUAGUAAUCGCGAAUCAGAAUGUCGCGGUGAAUACGUUCCCGGGUCUUGUACACACCGCCCGUCACACCAUGGGAGUCAGUAACGCCCGAAGCCGGUGGCCUGACCGCGAGGAGGGAGCUGUCGAAGGCGGGUCCGGUGACCGGGGUGAAGUCGUAACAAGGUAUC